AGUGGGGAAUAUUGGGCAAUGGGGGAAACCCUGACCCAGCUACGCCGCGUGAAGGAAGAAGGUUUUCGGAUUGUAAACUUCUGUCCUUGGUGAAGAGAAGAAGACGGUAGCCAAGGAGGAAGCCCCGGCUAACUACGUGCCAGCAGCCGCGGUAAUACGUAGGGGGCAAGCGUUGUCCGGAAUGAUUGGGCGUAAAGGGCGCGUAGGCGGCUUUGUAAGUCUGGAGUGAAAGUCCUCUUUUCAAGGGAGGAAUUGCUUUGGAAACUAUAGAGCUUGAGUGCAGGAGAGGUUAUCGGAAUUCCCGGUGUAGCGGUGAAAUGCGUAGAUAUCGGGAGGAACAUCGGUGGCGAAGGCGGGUAACUGGACUGCAACUGACGCUGAGGCGCGAAAGUGUGGGGAGCAAACAGGAUUAGAUACCCUGGUAGUCCACACGGUAAACGAUGAAUGCUAGGUGUAGGAGGUAUCGACCCCUUCUGUGCCGCAGUUAACACAAUAAGCAUU
rnacentral:rRNA from 1 species